rnacentral:rRNA from 1 species
GCAUCGAUGAAGAACGCAGCGAAUUGCGAUAUGUAUUGUGAAUUGCAGAUUCGUGAAUCAUCAAAUCUUUGGAACGCACAUUGCGCCCUCUGGUAUUCCAGGGGGCAUGCCUGUUUGAGCGUCAUUUCUCUCUCAAACCUUUGGGUUUGGUAGUGAGUGAUACUCGUCUCGGGUUAACUUGAAAGUGGCUAGCCGUUGCCAUCUGCGUGAGCAGGGCUGCGUGUCAAGUCUAUGGACUCGACUCUUGCACAUCUACGUCUUAGGUUUGCGCCAAUUCGUGGUAAGCUUGGGUCAUAGAGACUCAUAGGUGUUAUAAAGACUCGCUGGUGUUUGUCUCCUUGAGGCAUACGGCUUUAACCAAAACUCUCAAAGUUUGACCUCAAAUCAGGUAGGAGUACCCGCUGAACUUAAGCAUAUCAAUAAGCGGAGGA